UACGGAGGGAGCUAGCGUUGUUCGGAAUUACUGGGCGUAAAGCGCGCGUAGGCGGCUAUUCAAGUCAGAGGUGAAAGCCCGGGGCUCAACCCCGGAACUGCCUUUGAAACUAGAUAGCUAGAAUCUUGGAGAGGCGAGUGGAAUUCCGAGUGUAGAGGUGAAAUUCGUAGAUAUUCGGAAGAACACCAGUGGCGAAGGCGACUCGCUGGACAAGUAUUGACGCUGAGGUGCGAAAGCGUGGGGAGCGAACAGG
rnacentral:rRNA from 1 species